rnacentral:lncRNA from 1 species
AAAUUUAUUACAUAUAAAGAGUAAUAUAAAAAAAAUUCUGAAAUACGUAUAUAUUUUAUGCGGAAUUUUUAAACAAAAAAUCCUCCUACUUUAUGUACUUAUUUUGCAUAUCUAAUAAAAAUAACAUUGCUAAAAUAAUAAUAAAUAAAAAGUUCAUGAUUUUAGAUGGCCUUGAGGUGGCUCCGUGUCACUUGCUGAGCCUAUUUGAACGUUUCUUGUUUGUAUUGAUUAAUUUGUUUGUUAAGCUUUAAAUAAUAAAAUAUUUAGAUUUGUUAAGUGUUCCAUCAAAAAUUGCAAAAAAAUUACGUAAAGUUAAUUAUAUA